rnacentral:rRNA from 1 species
UACAGAGGUCUCAAGCGUUGUUCGGAUUCAUUGGGCGUAAAGGGUGCGUAGGCGGCGUGGUAAGUCGGGUGUGAAAUCUCGGAGCUUAACUCCGAAACUGCAUUCGAUACUGCCGUGCUUGAGGACUGGAGAGGAGACUGGAAUUUACGGUGUAGCGGUGAAAUGCGUAGAUAUCGUAAGGAAGACCAGUGGCGAAGGCGGGUUUCUGGACAGUUCCUGACGCUGAGGCACGAAGGCCAGGGGAGCAAACGGG